rnacentral:rRNA from 1 species
UACGUAGGGUGCGAGCGUUAAUCGGAUUUACUGGGCGUAAAGCGUGCGCAGGCGGCCCGUUAAGACAGGUGUGAAAUCCCUGGGCUCAACCUAGGAAUUGCGCUUGUGACUGGCGGGCUAGAGGACGGCAGAGGAGGGUGGAGCGGCCGGAGUAGCGGUGAAAUGCGUAGAUACCGGCCGAAAUCCCGAUGGCGAAGGCAACCCUCUGGGCCGGUCCUGACGCUGAGGCGCGAAAGCGUGGGGAGCGAACCGG